rnacentral:lncRNA from 10 species
CCCGGCGGAAGAAGGGGGCUCUCCAAGCACACCUGGCAGCCUGCAGCCUUUAGGUUUCUUCCCUGUUCCCUCUGCUGCCGACUUUUCUUUCACUUUCACUUAGAGCAAGAUGGCAGCCCGCGUCCCUGUGUGAAGCCGUCUGCAGCAGCUGCCAGAGCCCUGCUUGCUGUUUCCUUUCUCACCACCCACCUCACCCGGAAAUCCCCUGUCUCGAAAAGGCACUCUGUCACGUGUACACAGGAAAGGGCCCUGACAAGAGGAUGGGACUGCAGUUGUGGCUGCCAGGGCCCCGGCCAGGGUGAAAACAAGGAACAUUCCAGAGAAGAUCACAAGGAUGCGAAUAAAAUCGGAGCUGCACAGGGAUCUUUGGGCUGAGCUUUCUGUCUGGCUUCCCUCCUGGCCCCUCGUGUAUGCAUUCUCUCUAGCGGUGGGGAUUAAGGAGAAAACUCACGUGGCCAGUGGGUAGAGAGAGUCCGGGCAGGCAGCUGCCUGAAGUCAGCCAGAGUCUGCAUGUGCCCAGCUGUCCUGGCCUCCAGCAUCUCUGGAAAAACAGAGACAGAAUGAGUAGCAGCAGGGGACCCCAUAGGGCACAUCUGAAGGCCUGAGAGGUGCUGGAUGGGAUGGGAAGGCAGAAACAGGCUGACCUUAUCUAGGGGUAGGAGUGGGGAGUACUGGUUGGGGUAUCACCGCUACCCCACGUGAUGGCACAGAGAGUUGCCUGGAACUUACCACUGACAUAAGGUUGGAGUGCAGUGGCACGAUCUCGGCUCAGUGCAACCUCCGCCUCCUGAGUUCAAGUGAUUCUCCUGCCUCAGCCUCCCUAGUAGCUGGGAUUACAGGACAAGGAGAGGGACAAAUUCCUUCUUGGCAUCCUUAUGGCCCUGUGACCUGCUAAUGAAUGCUGACUCUGAGUUGCUACUAGAAUUUGGUUUCCUUGUGGCUUCCCAGGAAUUGUGAGCCAUGUUGGAUAAGGACCUGCAAGGGAAGAAUGAGGAAGCCUGGGACAGUGCAGGAGGGGAGAGCACUGGUGGUAGAGAGGAGUGAUGACAAGGGUCUCCGCCAAAAGGGAAAUGGAGGGGUUAAAGAAGCUGCUGGGGAGGGUUAAAAACAAUGUGUUCUCACUCGUAGGUGGGAAUUGAACAAUGAGAACACUUGGACACAGGAAGGGGAACAUCACACACUGGGGCCUGUCGUGGGGUGUGGGGAGGGAGGAGGGAUAGCAUUAGGAGAUAUACCUAAUGUAAAUGAUGAGUUAAUGGGUGCAGCACACCAACAUGGCACAUGUAUACCUAUGUAACAAACCUGCACAUUGUGUACAUGUACCCUAGAACUUAAAGUAUAAUUAAAAAACAAAACAAAACAAAACAAAAACAAUGAGGUGCUAUUGUUUUAGUGGUGAGUAUCCGGAGACCUGGGAGUUCUAUUUACCAGGUAUAACCUGGGCUCAAAAUUCCAGGCUGACUUCAGGCAUGUCCUCAUCUCAUAGAUGCCAGCACUAAGGCCCAGAGAGGGCCGAGCUCAUUCAGCCCACCCAUCUUCUCACCCCUGACUGCAUUUCCCGGGGGUCCUUCUGCAGCCAGGUGCUGCUGUGGUACUUUGGGAUCUAUUGGCUGAGCUCCCAGAGAAGGGUCAUGGAUUGGGCUAGUUUGGAACAAGUGAAGGGACUGAAGAUGGGCUCAGUAUGGGGCGAAGACCUUCAGGAAGGGUCUGCAGAGUGAGUAGGGGGGUUUUGACUAGGAAAAGUUCCAACCCUGCCGGGGCCGCUGUCAAGAGAAAAGCAUCUAUUACAGUUACAUUUUUAAGUUAAGUAGACUGAAGAAUAUUUCUUGUGUAUUAAAGACGUUCCUUUUUGGUUGAUUUGCAAUGGAAAAGCUUUUGUUUUCUUUUUUUUUUUGGAAACAGGGUCUCACUCUGCUCACUCUGUCUCCCAAGCUGGAGUGCAGUGGUACAGUCACGGCUCACUGCAGCCUCCACUUCCUGGACUCAAGUGAUCUUCUCACUUCAGCCUUCUGAGUAGCUGGGACUACAGCCCCCUCUGCAGCUCUUCAUGGGGGUCCACUCAAGUCAGAAGCCACAUUUGGGUGUGAUUCAGAGAGCUGUUUAUGCAAAACCAGCUUUGUCACCAUCAGGCAAGGCACCUGAAUUCCCACCGCAGAGAGUGUUGUGGCCGUGAGGACUUUUCUGUCACCAGCCAUUUCCAGGUAGACCCAGUGUAAUCACAAGCAUCCUUGUAAGUGGCAAAGAGGCAGAGGAGACAGCGCCAGAGAGGCAGCUGCAUGAGAAGGAUCAAGAUGUUGCUGACUUUGAAGUUGGAAGAAGAAGGCCAUGAGCCUCAGUAUGUGGGCGGCUUCUAGAAGCUGGAAGGGGCAAGGAGAUGGAUUUGACCCUUCAGCCUCCAGGGGCAGCUGUACCUGCCAUCACUGAUUGUAGCCUGGUGAGGCCUGUUUUAGACUUCUGACCUGUAGAGCUGUAACAUAAUACAUUUGGGUUGUUUUCAACCACUAAGUUUGUGGUAAUUUGUUGUAGCAGCUGUAGAAAAUGAAUACAUAUGAAUCCUCUGGCAUUUGUUUGAGAUUUGCUCUAUGGCCUAGUAUGUGGUUGUAAAUGUUCCAUCUGUGCCUGAAAAAAUGUAUAUUUCUAAUUCAGUAGUCUCUGCUUUUUUUUUUUAUUUUGUACCCCAUCAAUAAAAUGAUUUUCAGCAUGUAUCCCCAAAUAAACAAUAUUUUAUUUAUUGAUUGAUUGAUAAACAGACAUGUUUAAUGAUAGCUUGCUUUUCACAGAGGUGACUUCGGAGACUUCUAAUCUAUAAUCCAGGAGUAUAUAACCAUG